UAUGUGAUCGUCUCUCGCAUAUCAAUAAGCGGAGGAAAAGAAACUAACAAGGAUUCCCCUAGUAACGGCGAGUGAAGCGGGAAGAGCUCAAAUUUGAAAUCUUAAAGGGUUUCCCUUUACGAAUUGUAGUUUAAAGAAGUGUUUUCUGUUGAGGUUUUGGUAAAAGUUCUUUGGAAUAGGACAUCAUAGAGGGUGAGAAUCCCGUAUUUGACCUUUACUUUCAACUUUGUGAUACACUUUCAAAGAGUCGGAUUGUUUGGGAAUGCAGUCCAAAAUGGGUGGUAAAUUUCAUCUAAAGCUAAAUAUUGGCGAGAGACCGAUAGCGAACAAGUACCGUGAGGGAAAGAUGAAAAGAACUUUGAAAAGAGAGUUAAACAGUACGUGAAAUUGUCAAAAGGGAAGCGUUUGACACCAGUGUUGCUUUUUCUGAAAAUCAAUUAAAGAACUGUUUAUGCUAAGUUGUUUAGACUUUAUCAGCUAACUGUUUAGUUUUGAGCUUUUCUUUAAUGCACUUUUCAGUUAACAAGUCAACAUCAAUUUCUUUUGCUGUAAAAAAGCUUGAGGAAGGUGGCUUGAGAUUCGUCUUAAGUGUUUAUAGCCUCUUGCCUAUGCAGUCGGAGAGAUUGAGGUCUGCAGCGUAGAUCCUUCGGGGCUAAAUGCAUUUGUGCUAAGUUAUAGCAUUUUAUAGACAACUUGUUGACUACUGAUUUGUCUUGUAGCUUACUCGCUUAUGUUAUUUUACCUACGCUUAGGAUGUUGACACACGCGCGUGCUCG
rnacentral:rRNA from 1 species